rnacentral:rRNA from 1 species
AGCUCCAAUAGCGUAUAUUAAAGUUGUUGCGGUUAAAAAGCUCGUAGUUGGAUUUCUGUUGAGGGCGGUCGGUCCGCACUACGUGCGUGCAUCUGAUUCGGUCUUGGCAUCCUCUUGGGGGACGUUUCUGUGCUUCGUUGCAUGGGGCGGAAUUCAAGACUUUUACUUUGAGGAAAUUAGAGUGUUCACGGCAAGCUAUCGCUUUGAAUAUAUUAGCAUGGAAUAAUAAUAUAGGGCGUAAGUUCUAUUUUGUUGGUUUCUAGGACAUACGCAAUGAUUAAUAGGGACAAUUGGGGGCAUUCGUAUUAACACGUCAGAGGUGGAAUUCUUAGAUUGUGUUACGACGAACUACUGCGAAAGCAUUUGCCAAGGAUGUUUUCA